GACGAACGCUGGCGGCGUGCCUAAUACAUGCAAGUAGAACGCUGAAGGAGGAGCUUGCUUCUCUGGAUGAGUUGCGAACGGGUGAGUAACGCGUAGGUAACCUGCCUGGUAGCGGGGGAUAACUAUUGGAAACGAUAGCUAAUACCGCAUAAGAGUAGAUGUUGCAUGACAUUUGCUUAAAAGGUGCAAUUGCAUCACUACCAGAUGGACCUGCGCUGUAUUAGCUAGUUGGUGGGGUAACGGCUCACCAAGGCGACGAUACAUAGCCGACCUGAGAGGGUGAUCGGCCACACUGGGACUGAGACACGGCCCAGACUCCUACGGGAGGCAGCAGUAGGGAAUCUUCGGCAAUGGACGGAAGUCUGACCGAGCAACGCCGCGUGAGUGAAGAAGGUUGUCGGAUCGUAAAGCUCGGUUGUAAGAGAAGAACGAGUGUGAGAGUGGAAAGUUCACACUGUGACGGUAGCUUACCAGAAAGGGACGGCUAACUACGUG
rnacentral:rRNA from 1 species